CACGUGAGCAACCUGCCUUUCAGUGGGGGACAACAUUUGGAAACGAAUGCUAAUACCGCAUAAGACCACAGUGUCGCAUGGCACAGGGGUCAAAGGAUUUAUCCGCUGAAAGAUGGGCUCGCGUCCGAUUAGCUAGAUGGUGAGGUAACGGCCCACCAUGGCGACGAUCGGUAGCCGGACUGAGAGGUUGAUCGGCCACAUUGGGACUGAGACACGGCCCAGACUCCUACGGGAGGCAGCAUG
rnacentral:rRNA from 1 species